UUCAUAUGGAAGUAUAGUCAUUGUUGUUUUAGUCAACACAUGGUUCAAUGAUUAACAGAACAAGAUAUUUUAUUCAAUUUGCUUCCAGAGUUGGCGUGUUUGGAGAGUCUUGAGAUUUCUUGCAGUAAAGUCACUAAUUUUGGCAUCAGCUUUCUAAAAGGGUUGCAAAAGCUUUUCUUACUAAACUUGGAAGGAUGCCUUGUAAUAGCUGCAUGCUUGGAUUCUCUUGCAGGUUACGGUAUUGUACUUUCAUGAUAAAUUUACAUGGGUGAAAGGACUCGGUCUCUGCACUAUUCUGUUUGGUGUCAGUUUAUUCAACUGGUACAAAUAUCUGAAGCUUCAGAAGGGCCAUUUUGGUGAAGGCGAGGUGGCAGUGCUUCACACAAUAGAUUCUGCUGGCAAAUAUGUUAUUCUUGAGGAGAUGGAUGAGCAGGAUAUCUGAAACCUUCAUAACAACAUCUUCAAAUUACCUCUUGAUGCUUCCAUUGGAUUUGUGAUGUGAAGAUGCUUUCCAAGUUUAUCAGACCGGAGGAAACAAAUCGCCCGGUGAUGAUCAACAUUUAAGCCCAAUCAUUCAUCACUUCCAUUUUAAAAUUUUGUAAUUGAAUAUCUUGUAUUCUGUUAGUGUUUCAUCGGUAGCACAAAUUUUGGUAUUCUUGACGUGAAUUGUCAAGAUAUAUUUUGUAGAUUAAGGCAGCAGGGUGUAGUAGAUCAAAGGUUCAUUUUUGUUUUAAUGUAUCGAGUUAC